rnacentral:lncRNA from 1 species
UCAUGAACAAAACAAAACUUUCAUUCGCAAUGGCACAAAACCUUGUAAAAAAAUCUGAGGAGCCGAUACAAAUGCGUUGAAUCUGUGGGCGCUAGCUCAAAAGAUGCCGUGCGGUUAUUAUGUAAGGCGAAAAAAGAUCGAUGAUUUUAAACGGCGGGGCUGUUUCAAUAAGUGGAGCAUUGAAUGGUUGGACUUUGUAGCUCACCGCGACGGACUUAAUAUUGUCCACGCUCACAAUCAAGGAGAACAUCGUAUAGGUAGAUAUCCGGUUGAUGGAUUUGACUUGCAAAGUAAAACUGUCUUUGAAUGUCAG